UGGGGAAUAUUGCACAAUGGGCGGAAGCCUGAUGCAGCGACGCCGCGUGGGGGAUGAAGGCCUUCGGGUUGUAAACUCCUUUCGACAGGGACGAAGCUUUUGUGACGGUACCUGUAUAAGAAGCACCGGCUAACUACGUGCCAGCAGCCGCGGUAAUACGUAGGGUGCGAGCGUUGUCCGGAAUUACUGGGCGUAAAGAGCUCGUAGGUGGUUUGUCGCGUCGUCUGUGAAAUUCCGGGGCUUAACUACGGGCGUGCAGGCGAUACGGGCUGACUUGAGUGCUGUAGGAGAGGCUGGAAUUCCUGGUGUAGCGGUGAAAUGCGCAGAUGUCAGGAGGAACAACGAUGGCGAAGGCAGGGCUCUGGGCAGUAACUGACGCUGAGGAGCGAAAGCAUGGGUAGCGAACAGG
rnacentral:rRNA from 1 species